UACGGAGGAUCCAAGCGUUAUCCGGAUUUAUUGGGUUUAAAGGGUGCGUAGGCGGGGCAAUAAGUCAGUGGUGAAAUCUUCCAGCUUAACUGGGAAACUGCCAUUGAUACUGUUGUUCUUGAGUUUGGUUGAAGUAGGCGGAAUGAGGCAUGUAGCGGUGAAAUGCAUAGAUAUGCCUCAGAACACCGAUUGCGAAGGCAGCUUACUAAGCCAAUACUGACGCUGAGGCACGAAAGCGUGGGUAGCGAACAGG
rnacentral:rRNA from 1 species